UCCGGAAGGUAUUAGCACAGCCCCACUCCAGUACGAACCGCAUAACUUUUAAACUCCCAGACUCAAAAGAGGGGCAUCCACACGCGCGCGCGCGCACACACACGCGCACGCAGGUACAGGAAAUUCAGCCAGAGCAGAGCCUUUUCAGACCCAAGCUGACCGGAAGAUGCUGCCUUUCAUUCAUUCAUUCGGCCCGCGGGCGUGGAGUCCUGUGCUGGGUGACGAGCCCUGGCACGGAAGCUGGACAUUUUUUAGAGGUCCCUGCGCUCGCCAACAGGAGGGAAUGGAGGCUCAGGAGUGAAAUGCUGAAAGAAUUGGAUCUGGCGCCUCCGAACACAGCUGGCGAACCGGCGGAGGGUCAUUUUGCAGAGAGGGAAACCGAGGCUCAGAGAAGUCAUGAGUCUGGCUGGGGUGGCUCUGCCCCCCUGUCAUCCCCGUGUCAACACGGCAGUCAGACGUGUGGAGAGGAAGUGGCUUCCCCAGCAGAGAUCGGAUGUGAACCAUCAGCUCCUAUUGGUCACCCUAAGAGACCGCUUCCCCCACACUCGUCUCAAAGUUUCCUGCCCUGUCUUCUUGUACUCUUCCCCUUCCUCCGCCAGAGACCUCUGACAGGAAAAUAAAAAGACCAGGACUGUUGUAUCUGAAGCAUCAUCGUAAUGACUUCCUGGACCCUCCUGCUCAUUCUUACAAAAGGCCCAGUCAGAUCCCGUGUUGGCCCCAUUCAUUCAUUUCUUCAUUCAUCAAAGGUUGAUUGAGCAGCUCUGGGCUUUAAGACAGAGGGUAUGGAGGAACCAGCUCCGUCUGUGGACAUACUCCGGGCUGGGCAGGGAGUGGCCCCCCGGCUUCCCAAGGCAGUUAGUUAGGAAGGGCUGCUACGGGCUGGAACCCUCAGAAGUCAGGAUUUUCAAACUGUCAGAAAUGGAGGCUGUUGUCACGCUUACAUAGAAUUACAAUAGCUCCUGGGUUUUGAGAGCUCACUAUAACUCUCGUUGAGCAAAGCCACUCACUCGCUUUUGCUUUCUCCAAAUCUUCACCAAAGUUCUAAGAAGGAGGGUCCGUAAUGCCCCACUCUUAGAGCUGGGGCUCACACAGAGGUUAGGUUACUUGGCCAACAUUUACAGCUGUGAAACAGCAAAGACAGGACUUGAACCCCGGGCUUACAGGAAUCCAGAGCCCACAGACUUGAGCGCUAUGCCUCCCUGCAGGUCUGCCCUAACACAGGAGCCCGCAGCCACAUCAACUACUGAGCACCUGAAACACAGGCCAUGGCAUUAAGACAUGGAAUGUUAAAAAUUUAUUUACUUGUAAUGAAAUGUAAAUACUUAUAUGUAACUCCUCUUUAACUUACUGGGCCGUUGCAGCCUUCGAAUGCUUUCCAGAAUUGGUCAUAAUAACUCACCUACCUCACCGUCUGAUUCGGCACUGGGCCCCUGUAUCGACCUUCUGGCAACAUUUGGGGAGUGAAUGAAGAGAGUGAAGUAUUAUAAUGAUGAGGUGCGGGGAGGGCGCCUGGGACGUCGCAAAGGUUUCCUUCGAAGGGGCCAUCUGGUACCACGGGAGUGUCUGCGGUGUUUGGGGAUGCCAGUUGGACAGAGGAUUGUCCCACCUGCCUGGAUCAGACAGACUUCUCAAGGACAGAAAAGCUUUCACACGCAUUACCUCAUGUAAAAGGAACUGCUGGAACAGAAGCAUUUACAUAAAGCAACACUGAAACUCCCAAACGGCGUGAGUGAGCUACGUGACCUUGAAUCAGACGCCCAAACACUCUCAGUCGUCCCGCCUGUAAAAUGGGAGUCAUAUUAUCGAACCUGUAAGAGCUGCAUGAGGUCUGGAUGAGCCAAUGUUCUGUAACGUGGUGGUCCAUAGAUGAUGCAUCUUCGCUGAAAUGAAGUCGACCCUCUGGACUUCAUAACCCUAACUAGUGGAUUGGGGAAACUGAGUGUGUCCUCGCCACCCCACCUCUCCGCACCCCGCCAGGGGAAUGCUGGAGGGGAAACCUCCCCCAGGUGGGCAGAACAGCCCGGCUUUUCUCUCUUUCCUGCCCUCCCAGGGCUCAGUCUGGUGAGAGCAAAGGCAGCAAUAAGAUAAUGAGAUAAGCAUUUUGAGGGGCAGGAAGGAGAAGAUACUGAAGUUGAUUCCAGGAGGAUACCGGUUUUGGAGAGAAAGAGGACUGGCAGGAGAGAGGGCUCCCCACAGAGGACAUGCAGAGGCCUGGGGGAGAGAAAGCAGGUUUAUUUGAAGAACUCGGAAUCGUUCAUGCAGCACGCUCCAGCUUUGCAGGAAACCCACUGGGGAGGUCUCAUCCACUGCCCCGGCUCGGUCACUGAUGUGUCUCCUACCUAGCACACUGCCAGAACCUCCUCUAAAAGUAUGUGUCUAGCCCUGGCUGGCGUAGCUCAGUGGAUUGAGUGCGGGCUGCAAACCAAAGGGUUGCAGGUUUGCUCCCAGUCAGGG